rnacentral:rRNA from 1 species
UGGGGAAUAUUGGGCAAUGGGCGAAAGCCUGACCCAGCGACGCCGUGUGGGUGAUGAAGGCCUUCGGGUUGUAAAGCCCUGUUGGGUGGAAGAAGGGCUCUUUGGUGAAUAAUCUUAGAGCUUUGACGGUACCACCAGAGGAAGCACCGGCUAACUCCGUGCCAGCAGCCGCGGUAAUACGGAGGGUGCAAGCGUUGUUCGGAAUUACUGGGCGUAAAGGGCGCGUAGGUGGUUGUGUAAGUCAGAUGUGAAAUCCCGAGGCUCAACUUCGGAACUGCAUCUGAUACUGCAUGACUCGAGUGCAGCAGAGGGAAACGGAAUUCCUGGUGUAGAGGUGAAAUUCGUAGAUAUCAGGAGGAACACCGGUGGCGAAGGCGGUUUCCUGGGCUGACACUGACACUGAGGCGCGAAAGCGUGGGUAGCAAACAGGAUUAGAUACCCUGGUAGUCCACGCUGUAAACGGUGAGUACUGGGUGUGGGAGGUGUAAUGCCUU